GCCGGCUGGAAGGGUUUCCUUCCAGUCGACAAGGUACAUGUACCUCGUCGACUGGAAGGAUUUCCUUCCAGCUGUCGAGGUACAUGUACCUCGCCGGCUGGAAGGAAACCCUUCCAGCCGGC
rnacentral:miRNA from 1 species